UUGUCAUGUGUCAGACGUGCGUAUCCGAAGCAAAAUUUAUUGAGCUUUCCUGUUGGUUGUACACAGUUGCAGUUUGUAGAGUGCUCUGCUUAACCGCUUAACUCUGAUUUCUUUAUAAUGUUUGUAUUAAAAUAUAAUAUGGAGCUCCGACUUAUAUUUUUAAUAUUCUUUAUGCUUGCCGUCUUCACAAGUGCUCUGCCGGCUGAAUCAGGCUCGCAACCAAUGAAAAGAGAUCUUGCUGAAUCUGUGAAGGAUGCAUGGAAUGGUGCCGUCAAGACUGUUAGUGAUGCUGGAGAUGCUGUCGUCGAUGCGGUUAAGCCAACUGAGAAAAGUGUUAUCGACAAAAUGGCUAGCGGUCUGAAGGACAUUGUUGAAUAAUAUCUCUGUUUAUAAUAUCUCUUUUAAAUGUUCACUAUUAAUUAUUGUACCUAAUUGUCUUUUCGUACAUUUUUGAGAUAUUAUGGCUUUAACAAAUAUUUAAUAAAAUGUUCUGUAAUCGAAA